UACCAUCACUACCACCGCUGAUGC
rnacentral:siRNA from 1 species